CAGUAGCCGCGGUAAAACGGAGGGUGCAAGCGUUAAUCGGAAUUACUGGGCGUAAAGCGCACGCAGGCGGUCUGACAAGUCCGAUGUGAAAUCCCCGGGCUUAACCUGGGAACUGCAUUUGAAACUGUCAGGCUGGAGUCUUGUAGAGGGGGGUGGAAUUCCAGGUGUAGCGGUGAAAUGCGUAGAGAUCUGGAGGAAUACCGGUGGCGAAGGCGGCCCCCUGGACAAAGACUGACGCUCAGGUGCGAAAGCGUGGGGAGCAAACAGGAUUAGAUACCCCAGUAGUCCCUGUCUCUUAUAC
rnacentral:rRNA from 1 species